ACGGGGGCCCGCACAAGCGGAGGAACAUGUGGUUAAUUCGAUGAUACGCGAGGAACUUACCUGGGCUAGAACGCAGAAUGACAGAUGCCGAAAGGUGUUUUCCCAGCAAUGGGCAUUUUGCGAGGUGCUGCAUGGUUGUCGUCAGCUCGUGCCGUGAGGUGUCGGGUUAAGUCCCCAUAACGAGCGCAACCCCUAUUGUUAGUUGCCAGCGGGUAAUGCCGGGAUCUCUAACGAAAACUGCCGGUGUAAACCGGAGAAGUGGGGAUGACGUCAAAUCAGCACGGCCCUUAUGUCCAGGGCUACACACGUGUUACAAUGGCCGAUACAACGGGCAGCCACCUGGUGACAGGGAGCUAAUCCUAAAAGUCGGUCUCAGUUCGGAUCGAAGUCUGCAACCCGACUUCGUGAAGCUGGAUUCGCUAGUAAUCGCAGAUCAGCCAUGCUGCGGUGAAUACGUUCCCGGGCCUU
rnacentral:rRNA from 1 species